rnacentral:rRNA from 1 species
GAUGAACGCUGGCGGCGUGCCUAAUACAUGCAAGUCGAGCGAACAGACGAGGAGCUUGCUCCUCUGACGUUAGCGGCGGACGGGUGAGUAACACGUGGAUAACCUACCUAUAAGACUGGGAUAACUUCGGGAAACCGGAGCUAAUACCGGAUAAUAUAUUGAACCGCAUGGUUCAAUAGUGAAAGACGGUUUUGCUGUCACUUAUAGAUGGAUCCGCGCCGCAUUAGCUAGUUGGUAAGGUAACGGCUUACCAAGGCAACGAUGCGUAGCCGACCAGAGAGGGUGAUCGGCCAGACGGAAGAUAAGGCGCGGGACCGACACCUACCGGAGGCAGCAGUAGUGAAUCGGCCGCAAUGGGCGAAAGCCUGACGGAGAAACUCAGCAAGAGUGAAGAAGUUCUUCAGAUCGUAAACCCCUGUUAUUAGGAAAGAACAAAGGUGUAAGUACCUAUGCAGGGCUAGACGGUACCUAAUCAGAAAGCCACGGCUAACUACGU